GCCCAUGGAUGUAAGGAAAAUUGCUGUUACAGAGCUUUCUAUGCAGUGCUGGGUAAGGAUGCCUGCUGGAGGCCUCAGCCAACUGUUGAUGUCAUUUUCAGAAAUCAUUCUCAUGAUAACAGCACUGUGCAGCUUUAUUUAGUCACUCAGUUACAGCAGUAUUUUAAAAGACUGGGACAGUCAGAUUUUUGAAGUGUAACAGAUAUUCAGCAUGGAACAGUAUACUACAUAUUCCUUUCACAAAUGUCUUACAGAGCUGAUACAGUACUAGCCAUCAAUCCAGCAGCAAGCGCUCUGGAGUAGAAAAGGAUGCAACAAGAUAGCUACACUGGAAAGACAACUUUAGAAAAAGUGAAACAUGUAAGGUCUCCCCUCUAGUCCCCAAAGAAAGCAUACAGUUUGGAUCUAACUUUACAGUUCUACAUCAGUUUCUAGAAACUUAAAAGAACAAAACCAAAAAGCAAAACCACUGGCCAGUACAGUCUUUGGAUAUUUAGAGGAGGGGGAGAAUGUCAGUUUCCAGAAUGAAGUCAGUUGGUUUCGGCCUCACCAGGGUCUUUGCCUUCUUUGUUCUUUCGAACUUCUUCAAUAUGCUUAUCCUUCUCCCUCAAGCGUUCCAGUUUGGCAGCCAUUUGUGCCUCACGGUUCUCUUUGUUAGCUUCCAUUUUGUGGGUCAGCUUCUCCUCUGCCAUUUUGCUGAAGUUGUUGUUCUCUUCAAUUGCUUUCUGAAGCACCUCUUUUUCAUGCUCCCGCUUCUCAGCUAGCUGCUUCAAGACUUCUGCUUCAUGGGACUUGCGUCUCUCUUCUGCUGCUUCCAGUUUCUUCUGAAUUUCUUCCAAUGACAGAUCCUUCUUUUUUGGAGGAGAAAGAGGGAAUUCCGGGGCUGCUUCUUUUGAGCGGGGACCAAGGAUCAGCUCAAAUGCCUGCCCAGAGGCACGCUUUUCCAGUUCUUUCACUUGGAUAUCAGAAGUAGCCAUGACUGAGGCAAUCCGCCUGCAGAAGCCAACAGGAGACCUUCAACCAGAUAACAGUCCCUUUGUUUGAAUCCACAUCCAUUAAAACACACAAACCCAGCAAUGUCAGCGCUCCCCGCCCCGCAGCGCCGAACGGGCGGACCCGAC
rnacentral:lncRNA from 1 species